rnacentral:snRNA from 1 species
GUGCUCACUUUGGCAGUACACAUAUUAAAUUAGGAAUAAUAUUGAGAAGAUUACUAUGGUCCUUGAAUAAGAAUGACA